rnacentral:rRNA from 1 species
CGGUUGANCCUGCCGGAGGCUACUGCUAUCGGGGUUCGAUUAAGCCAUGCGAGUUAANNGUUNUUCGUGAACAUAGCGAACUGCUCAGUAACACGUGGAUAACNUNCCUUAGGACCGGAAUAACCCCGGGAAACUGGGGAUAAUACCGGAUAAGCCAUAGACGCUGGAAUGCCCUAUGGUUCAAAGCUCCGGCGCNUAAGGAUGGAUCUGCGGUCUAUCAGGUUGUAGUGGGUGUAACGUACCUACUAGCCGACGACGGAUACGGGUUGUGAGAGCAAGAGCCCGGAGAUGGAUUCUGAGACACGAAUCCAGGCCCUACGGGGUGCAGCAGGCGCGAACACUUUACAAUGCGGGAAACCGCGAUAAGGGAACCCCGAGUGCCAGCAUCAAAUGUUGGCUGUCCAGAUGGUUAAAAAUCAUUUGUUAGCAAGGGCCGGGCAAGACCGGUGCCAGCCGCCGCGGUAACACCGGCGGCCCGAGUGGUAGCCGUUUUUAUUGGGUCUAAAGGGUCCGUAGCCGGCCUGAUAAGUCCUUUGGGAAAUCUGACAGCUUAACUGUCAGGCUUCUAAGGGAUACUGUCAGGCUUGGGACCGGAAGAGGUAAGGGGUACUCCAGGGGUAGGAGUGAAAUCUUGUAAUCCCUGGGGGACCAUCUGUGGCGAAGGCGCCUUACCAGAACGGGUCCGACGGUGAGGGACGAAAGCUAGGGGAGCAAACCGGAUUAGAUACCCGGGUAGUCCUAGCUGUAAACGAUGCUCGCUAUGUGUCAGACACGGUGCGACCGUGUUUGGUACCGCAGGGAAGCCGUUAAGCGAGCCACCUGGGAAGUACGGUCGCAAGGCUGAAACUUAAAGGAAUUGGCGGG